CUAACUCCGUGCCAGCAGCCGCGGUAAUACGUAGGGGUCGAGCGUUGUCCGGAGUUCCUGGGCGUAAAGCGCGUGCAGGUGGCUCAUUACGCCCGGCGUGAAAGCCCCCGGCCUAACCGGGGAGGGUCGUCGGGGACGGGUGAGCUUGAGGGUCGCAGGGGCUGGUGGAAUUCCCGGUGUAGUGGUGAAAUGCGUAGAGAUCGGGAGGAACACCCGUGGCGAAGGCGGCCAGCUGGGCGAGCCCUGACACUGAGACGCGAAGGCGUGGGGAGCGAACGG
rnacentral:rRNA from 1 species